GCAGUCGACGGCAGCACGGGAGCAAUCCUGGUGGCGAGUGGCGAACGGGUGAGUAAUAUAUCGGAACGUGCCCAGUCGUGGGGGAUAACGUAGAGAAAUUUACGCUAAUACCGCAUACGAUCUAAGGAUGAAAGCGGGGGACCGUAAGGCCUCGCGCGAUUGGAGCGGCUGAUAUCAGAUUAGGUUGUUGGUGAGGUAAAAGCUCACCAAGCCGACGAUCUGUAGCUGGUUUGAGAGAACGACCAGCCACACUGGGACUGAGACACGGCCCAGACUCCUACGGGAGGCAGCAGUGGGGAAUUUUGGACAAUGGGCGAAAGCCUGAUCCAGCAAUGCCGCGUGCAGGAAGAAGGCCUUCGGGUUGUAAACUGCUUUUGUACGGAACGAAAAGGUCUGCCCUAAUACGGCGGGCCCAUGACGGUACCGUAAGAAUAAGCACCGGCUAACUACGUGCCAGCAGCCGCGGUAAUACGUAGGGUGCGAGCGUUAAUCGGAAUUACUGGGCGUAAAGCGUGCGCAGGCGGUGAUGUAAGACAGUUGUGAAAUCCCCGGGCUCAACCUGGGAAUUGCAUCUGUGACUGCAUCGCUAGAGUACGGUAGAGGGGGAUGGAAUUCCGCGUGUAGCAGUGAAAUGCGUAGAUAUGCGGAGGAACACCGAUGGCGAAGGCAAUCCCCUGGACCUGUACUGACGCUCAUGCACGAAAGCGUG
rnacentral:rRNA from 1 species